rnacentral:rRNA from 1 species
UACGAAGGGGGCUAGCGUUGCUCGGAAUCACUGGGCGUAAAGGGUGCGUAGGCGGGUUUUAAGUCAGGGUGAAAUCCUGGAGCUCAACUCCAGAACUGCCUUUGAUACUGAGGAUCUUGAGUUCGGGAGAGGUGAGUGGAACUGCGAGUGUAGAGGUGAAAUUCGUAGAUAUUCGCAAGAACACCAGUGGCGAAGGCGGCUCACUGGCCCGAUACUGACGCUGAGGUGCGAAAGCGUGGGGAGCA